CAGCAGCCACGGUAAUACGUAGGUGGCAAGCGUUGUCCGAAAUUAUUGGGCGUAAAGGGCUCGCAGGCGGUUUCUUAAGUCGGAUGUGAAAGCCCCCGGCUCAACCGGGGAGGGUCAUUGGAAACUGGGAAACUUGAGUGCAGAAGAGGAGAGUGGAAUUCCACGUGUAGCGGUGAAAUGCGUAGAGAUGUGGAGGAACACCAGUGGCGAAGGCGACUCUCUGGUCUGUAACUGACGCUGAGGAGCGAAAGCGUGGGGAGCGAACAGGAUUAGAUACCCCUGUAGUCCCUGUCUCUUAUAC
rnacentral:rRNA from 1 species